GCGCCCGUAGCUCAAUUGGACAGAGUGCUUGGUUACGGCCCAAGAGGUUGCGGGUUCGACUCCUACCGGGCGCGCCA
rnacentral:tRNA from 3 species